GACGAACGCUGGCGGCGUGCUUAACACAUGCAAGUCGAACGGAAGGGCCCUGCUCUUGUGUGGUUCUCGUUUGGCGAACGCGUGAGUAACACGUGUGUAUCCUCCCCUUGACUUUGUGAUAUCUUCACGAAACUGCGGCGCUUACCGCAGAUGAUCUCCUGCAGCAUGUGGUUGAUUGGAAAGUUUCGGCGUUAGUGGAUGUUCUCGCGGCUUAUCAGCUUGUUUGUGUGGUAGUGGCUUACGAAGCCUUUGACGGGUAGCCGGCCUGGGAGGUUGACCGGCGACAUGGGGACUGCGAGACGGACCAGAAGGCUACGGGAGGCAGCAGUGGGGAAUCUUACAGAGUGGGGCGAAGUCUGAUGCAGAAACGUCGCGUGCGGAAUGCCGGCCUUCGAGUUGUAAACAGAUUUCGAAUGUGACGAAGCGUGAGUGACGGUAAUUGGUAAGAAAGCACCGGCUAACUACGUG
rnacentral:rRNA from 1 species